rnacentral:rRNA from 1 species
UACGUAGGGGGCAAGCGUUGUCCGGAAUCAUUGGGCGUAAAGCGCGUGUAGGCGGCUUAGUAAGUCUGCUCUGAAAGCCCGGGGCUCAACCCUGGGAGGCGGGUGGAUACUGCUGAGCUUGAGUCCGGAAGAGGCGAGUGGAAUUCCCGGUGUAGCGGUGAAAUGCGCAGAUAUCGGGAGGAACACCAGUAGCGAAGGCGGCACUCUGGGCCGGUACUGACGCUGAGGAGCGAAAGCGUGGGGAGCGAACAGG